CAGCAGCCACGGUAAUACAGAGGUCCCGAGCGUUGUUCGGAUUCACUGGGCGUAAAGGGUGUGUAGGAGGUUGGAUAAGUCAGGUGUGAAAUCCCGCAGCUCAACUGCGGAACUGCAUUCGAUACUGUUCAACUAGAGGAUCGGAGGGGGAAGCGGAAUUCUUGGUGUAGCGGUGAAAUGCGUAGAUAUCAAGAGGAACACCGGUGGCGAAGGCGGCUUCCUGGGAGAUACCUGACUCUGAAACACGAAAGCCAGGGGAGCGAAUGGGAUUAGAUACCCCGGUAGUCCCUGUCUCUUAUAC
rnacentral:rRNA from 1 species